GUGGGGAAUAUUGGGCAAUGGGGGAAACCCUGACCCAGCAACGCCGCGUGAAGGAAGAAGGCUUUCGGGUUGUAAACUUCUUUUACCAGGGAAAAACACAAUGAUGGUACCUGGAGAAAAAGCUACGGCUAACUACGUGCCAGCAGCCGCGGUAAUACGUAGGUGGCAAGCGUUGUCCGGAAUUACUGGGUGUAAAGGGCGUGUAGGCGGAACUACAAGUCAGGGGUGAAAACUAUGGGCUUAACCCAUAGCCUGCCUUUGAAACUGUAGUCCGUGAUUGCUGGAGAGGCAAUUGGAAUUCCUGGUGUGGCGGUGAAAUGCGUAGAUAUUAGGAGGAACACCAAUGGCGAAGGCGAAUUGCUGGACAGUAACUGACGCUGAGGCGCGAAAGCGUGGUGAGCAAACAGGAUUAGAUACCCGGGUAGUCC
rnacentral:rRNA from 1 species